rnacentral:misc_RNA from 1 species
UGUGGGAGCGAGCCUGCUCGCGAAAGCGGCCGAUCAGUCAGCAUUUCUAUCAACUGACACACCGCAUUCGCGAGCAGGCUCGCUCCCACA